rnacentral:rRNA from 1 species
UACGGGGGGAGCAAGCGUUGUUCGGAUUUACUGGGCGUAAAGGGCGCGUAGGCGGCGCAACAAGUCACUUGUGAAAUCUCCGGGCUUAACCCGGAAAGGUCAAGUGAUACUGUCGGACUAGAGUACAGAAGGGGCAACUGGAAUUCUCGGUGUAGCGGUGAAAUGCGUAGAUAUCGAGAGGAACACCUGCGGCGAAGGCGGGUUGCUGGGCUGAUACUGACGCUGACAGCGCGAAAGCUAGGGGAGCGAACGGG